rnacentral:rRNA from 1 species
CCUACGGGUGGCUGCAGUCGAGAAUCAUUCACAAUGGGGGAAACCCUGAUGGUGCGACGCCGCGUGGGGGAAUGAAGGUCUUCGGAUUGUAAACCCCUGUCAUGUGGGAGCAAAUUAAAAAGAUAGUACCACAAGAGGAAGAGACGGCUAACUCUGUGCCAGCAGCCGCGGUAAUACAGAGGUCUCAAGCGUUGUUCGGAAUCACUGGGCGUAAAGCGUGCGUAGGCUGUUGCGUAAGUCGUGUGUGAAAGGUGCGGGCUCAAACCCCGGACGGCACAUGAUACUGCGAGACUAGAGUAAUUGAGGGGGAACCGGAAUUCUCGGUGUAGCAGUGAAAUGCGUAGAUAUCGAGAGGAACACUCGUGGCGAAGGCGGGUUCCUGGACAUUAACUGACGCUGAGGCACGAAGGCCAGGGGAGCGAAAGGGAUUAGAUACCCCUGUAGUC